ensembl:ncRNA F31E8.7 ncRNA
UGCCGUCUUAAUCUUCUCCUCCUUACGCUUGCGCUCCUCACUUAUUCAUUCAACCAUCCAACGACCCAUUCACUCAUUCAUUCAGUCAGUUCUCGGUGGGAGGCCUUUCCCUCUGAACACAGAGAGACACAGAGUGAGCGCUCGCGGUGGUUUUCGGAAAGGAAGAUGAUUGUUUGUGUGUCAGAUAGAUAUGUGUGUGCGUAUGGCUGUUGACUCUUUCUCCUCCUUCCUACCUUCCUGUAGUUGAAUAAGUGCUAUUUCAGAGUUCAUCUCUAACAAAUUU